GAGGCCUAUCAGUAUCCUGAGUAGGGCGGGACACGUGAAAUCCCGUUUGAAUCCGCGAGGACCAUCUCGCAAGGCUAAAUACUAACCAGUGACCGAUAGUGAACCAGUACCGUGAGGGAAAGGUGAAAAGAACCCCGGGAGGGGAGUGAAAGAGAACCUGAAACCGUGUGCCUACAAGUAGUCAGAGCCCGUUAACGGGUAAUGGCGUGCCUUUUGUAGAAUGAACCGGCGAGUUGCGUUAGUCAGCAAGGUUAAGUCAGAAAAGACGGAGCCGUAGCGAAAGCGAGUCUGAAGAGGGCGAGCAGUUGGCUGACGCAGACCCGAAACCAAGUGACCUACCCAUGACCAGGUUGAAGGCGCGGUAAAACGCGCUGGAGGACCGAACCCACGUAAGUUGAAAAUUGCGGGGAUGAGUUGUGGGUAGCGGUGAAAUUCCAAACGAACUUGGAGAUAGCUGGUUCUCUCCGAAAUAGCUUUAGGGCUAGCCUCGCAAAGAGGAUGCUGGAGGUAGAGCUCUGUUUGGACUAGGGGCCCGUCAAGGGUUACUGAAUUCAGAUAAACUGCGAAUUCCAGACAUUUAUGUGCGGGAGUCAGACUGCGAGUGAUAAGAUCCGUAGUCGAAAGGGAAACAGCCCAGAUCACCAGUUAAGGUCCCAAAAUUCAUGCUAAGUGGAAAAGGAUGUGGAGUUGCGCAGACAACUAGGACGUUGGCUCAGAAGCAGCCAUCAUUCAAAGAGUGCGUAAUAGCUCACUAGUCGAGUGACGCCGCGCCGAAAAUUUACCGGGGCUAAGCAUGAUACCGAAACUGUGGAUGUGCGUUUAUGCACGUGGUAGGAGAGCGUUCUAGCGGCGGUGAAGCAUGACCGAGAGGACAUGUGGAGCUUCUAGAAGUGAGAAUGCCGGUAUGAGUAACGAAAGACAGGUGAGAAUCCUGUCCGCCGCAAGACUAAGGUUUCCUGGGGCAGGCUCGUCCGCCCAGGGUAAGUCGGGACCUAAGGCGAGGCCGAGAGGCGUAGUCGAUGGACAACAGGUUGAAAUUCCUGUACUGCACCGAAUCGUUAUGAGCGAUGGAGGGACGCAGGAGGCUAGCAGCGCGUGGUGCUGGAUACCACGUUCAAGCGUCAAGUCUGAGAGCGAGUCAAAUGCUUGCUCUCAUAAGGACAAGGCGUGAUGAGGAGCGAAAUUAAAGUAGCGAAGGCUGCGACGUCACACUGCCGAGAAAAGCUUCUAGCCAGAGACGGUGCACCCGUACCGCAAACCGACACAGGUAGUCGAGGAGAGUAUCCUCAGGUGAGCGAGAGAACUCUCGUUAAGGAACUCGGCAAAAUGGCCCCGUAACUUCGGGAGAAGGGGCGCUGGUCGCAAGAUCAGCCGCAGUGAAAAGGCCCAAGCAACUGUUUAUCAAAAACACAGGCAUCUGCAAAAUCGUAAGAUGAAGUAUAGGUGCUGACACCUGCCCGGUGCUGGAAGGUUAAGAGGAGAGCUUAGCGCAAGCGAAGGUUUGAAUUGAAGCCCCAGUAAACGGCGGCCGUAACUAUAACGGUCCUAAGGUAGCGAAAUUCCUUGUCGGGUAAGUUCCGACCUGCACGAAAGGUGUAAUGAUUUGGGCACUGUCUCAACGAGAGACUCGGUGAAAUUAUAAUACCCGUGAAGAUGCGGGUUACCCGCGACAGGACGGAAAGACCCCAUGGAGCUUUACUGCAGUUUAAUAUUGGGUAUCUGUCAAGCAUGUACAGGAUAGGUAGGAGCCGGAGAAGAUAGGACGCCAGUCUUAUCUGAGGCGCUGUUGGGAUACUACCCUUGCUUGACGGAUGCUCUAACUCAGGCCUGUGAUCCAGGCCGAGGACAGUGUUUGACGGGCAGUUUGACUGGGGCGGUCGCCUCCUAAAGUGUAACGGAGGCGCCCAAAGGUUCCCUCAGAAUGGUUGGAAAUCAUUCGCAGAGUGUAAAGGUAAAAGGGAGCUUGACUGCGAGAGAGACAACUCGAGCAGGUACGAAAGUAGGGCUUAGUGAUCUGGUGGUACCGCAUGGAAGGGCCAUCACUCAACGGAUAAAAGCUACCCUGGGGAUAACAGGCUUAUCUCCCCCAAGAGUUCACAUCGACGGGGAGGUUUGGCACCUCGAUGUCGGCUCGUCGCAUCCUGGGGCUGAAGUCGGUCCCAAGGGUUGGGCUGUUCGCCCAUUAAAGCGGCACGCGAGCUGGGUUCAGAACGUCGUGAGACAGUUCGGUCCCUAUCCGUCGUGGGCGUAGGAAAUUUGAGAGGAGCUGUCCUUAGUACGAGAGGACCGGGAUGGACGCACCGCUGGUGUACCAGUUGUCUUGCCAAAGGCAUCGCUGGGUAGCUAUGUGCGGACGGGAUAAGCGCUGAAAGCAUCUAAGUGCGAAGCCCCCCUCAAGAUGAGAUUUCCCAUUUCUUCAAGAAAGUAAGACACCUCAGAGACGAUGAGGUAGAUAGGCCGGGAGUGGAAGAGCCGUGAGGCUUGGAGCGGACCGGUACUAAUCAGUCGAGGACUUGACCAAAA
rnacentral:rRNA from 1 species